CAGUGCCGCGGUAAUACGGAGGGCGCGAGCGUUACCCGGAUUUACUGGGCGUAAAGGGCGUGUAGGCGGCCUGGGGCGUCCCAUGUGAAAGGCCACGGCUCAACCGUGGAGGAGCGUGGGAUACGCUCAGGCUAGAGGGUGGGAGAGGGUGGUGGAAUUCCCGGAGUAGCGGUGAAAUGCGCAGAUACCGGGAGGAACGCCGAUGGCGAAGGCAGCCACCUGGUCCACUUCUGACGCUGAGGCGCGAAAGCGUGGGGAGCAAACCGGAUUAGAUACCCGUGUAGUCCCUGUCUCUUAUACA
rnacentral:rRNA from 1 species